GUAAGGAAUAUUGGUCAAUGGGCGGAAGCCUGAACCAGCCAUGCCGCGUGCAGGACGACGGCCCUACGGGUUGUAAACUGCUUUUGCCCGGGAAUAACCCCCCGCUCUUGAGCGGGGCUGAACGUACCGGGAGAAUAAGGAUAGGCUAACUCCGUGCCAGCAGCCGCGGUAAUACGGAGGAUCCGAGCGUUAUCCGGAUUUAUUGGGUUUAAAGGGUGCGUAGGCGGCCUGUUAAGUCAGGGGUGAAAUACGGCAGCUCAACUGUCGCAGUGCCCUUGAUACUGACGGGCUUGAAUACCGGUGAAGGCGGCGGAAUGAGACAAGUAGCGGUGAAAUGCAUAGAUAUGUCUCAGAACCCCGAUUGCGAAGGCAGCUGCCUAACCGGCGAUUGACGCUGAUGCACGAAAGCGUGGGGAUCGAACAGGAUUAGAUACCCUUGGAGUCC
rnacentral:rRNA from 1 species